rnacentral:rRNA from 1 species
GAGCCGUUUUGAAGCACUCCUGUCCACGGCCAGAGCAGGUUCUCCUGCGUGCAAGGCUCGCCCAAGAACGCAAUGGCCAUCGUCCGGGAGCUCCUGAUGGAGACAGCGUACACGCCUGCGCUGCGCACCCAGUUGUUCAAGUCUGAGGACCUCAUCAAUGACGCCAACGAUCUUGCCGGCCACGACGGCGACGACGACUACUGCUAUCGCACGAGCCCUAAGAACAUCCACGAGGAAGACGGGACCACGGCCGCCGGAAGCCCCUCCACGAGCGCCGCCUACUGGGCGACGCACCGAGCUGAGCUGGCCAGGGCGUGUGAGCUAGUCUCCUCAGAGGUGCCGAGGUCGAGACUGGACGCCGCUAGCGUGCAGGCGGAGCGACGGGACAUCAGCGCCGACAUAGAGACCGCCUUGCUCGAUGCUUUGGUGCUGGAGUUCGUCAUGGAUCUCGGUGGCUGCUAA